rnacentral:rRNA from 1 species
UACGUAGGGUGCAAGCGUUGUCCGGAAUUAUUGGGCGUAAAGAGCGCGUAGGCGGUCCGGUAAGUCCGCUCUGAAAGCCCGGGGCUCAACCCCGGGAGGCGGGCGGAUACUGUCGGGCUAGAGUCCGGAAGAGGCGAGUGGAAUUCCUGGUGUAGCGGUGAAAUGCGCAGAUAUCAGGAAGAACACCCGUGGCUAAGGCGGCUCUCUAGUACGGUACUGACGCUGAGACGCGAAAGCGUGGGGAGCGAACAGG